GCUAGGUAGGAUGAGGUAGGGGAAGAAGGAAGUUGGAGGGGGAUCUACUUCAGAAAACGGAUACUAACAUCUUCACCAAAAUCAAAUGUAACCACAACCACCCUCUAAUGGAUAUUGCUCCUGUUGUUAUAUCAACUAAAGCCCCUUGUUAAUACUGAUAGAUUUCUCAACGCCUUUGCUAAUCACCCUGCAAGCAGAGCUUUCUUCCUGUUUGUUUCUAUUAGUUCACUUAUCCGUGUCGCGAGUCUGUUCUUUCGCGUUCUCGUUUGUUUGUGUCCGUAGUACCUGAGUACUAAUCGGCUUGCAUUCAGAUAUAAUCUAGCCUUAGCAAGUGAGCCUUGUGAGCCGGUUGUUUCGUUUUUGUAUUUCUGUACUUGAAAGAGCGCUCCUAGAAAUGUAUUUUUUCUAGUAAGGAUAAAGAUUAUUAUUAGGGAAUGGACUGUGCUCCACCUUUCACCGAAAAACGGCUGAGCUAGAAAACUCCGAAACCAUACCAUUUCCACCAAUUAGAAGAAGAGGUGCGGAGGUGUGCAAAAUGUUUUUUUUAUUCCAAUAUUAUACCGGGGAGCAAAGUUCUUAACUCACGCGUUUUUGUAAAAGGACUAAUGACCCUUAGAUCUCCAAAAAUAUAAUCGUAGAAAAGAAAUCUUAUUCUAGACAAUUUCAAGAUGUGUAAACAAAUCUAAGAGCGCGCGGAAAAUCAAAUCUAAAAAAGAAUUCGAAUAAGUUACUUACCGUAGUUUCAUUGCAUAGAUAGAUUAAAAUUGUAGCUUAAACACAACCGUCUUUUUUUUUUAUUUAGAAAGGCAUUAUUCCUACCUCGAAAAGAAAGUAGAUUCUUUAGCUUCCAUCGCGCAUAAACAAUCACAACUGCAAGACUUUUGAACAACUUCAGUUCAAUCCAUUAAAAGACGGUGCAUAAACGCUUAUUUAAUCAGAUCGAGAUGGUGCACAACACUUCUUAUUUUAUCAGAUCAAUCUCGAUAUAAAAAGUAAGUACUCUUCGAUUUUUUUUAUAAAAGCAAAAGGUUUAUUCAUUACAAAUAAUUGGCGGUCAUUUUGUGUUUUCAGACCCACAUACCUUUAAUGUCAUAUUGAUUUUCAUUAAAAAGUAUAGAACCGACCACCAAAUAACACACUAAGCCCAAGAAAGCCAACGAAGCGAGGAUUCACGAUCCACUCUCUUAUUCACAAAACCCAUUAUAUGAACGUGCGAACUGGCAUGGUUUCACGUCAAAAACAUAAUACACAGGGUUCCCAACAAGGAUAUAGGAAAAGGUGGAAUACUAAAAUACAGCGGUAUUUUAUAGAAAGCGCCUUUUUCACAUUUUGAUAUAUUUUGUUAUUUUUUUAUUUGUUUAAUUAAUGUUUGCGACGACGCAUACAAGGAUUAAAAUAUACCUUAAAAAGUUUUGUACAACAAAGAAUUGCUUUUCGUGAAUAUUUCACGGGUAACCGCUGGUUUACUUAUAAUUCUUGAAAAUAUUUUUUUUGGGGGGGGCAUGCCCCCAGUGCCCCACCCCCUACUACGGCUUGGCAAAAGACAAAAAAAAAACUUCACAACAGCGCGCGCUCAUGGCUUCAUUCCAGUGCACGUCAGCGCGCGCAGAAAACAGUUUGAAAAACUGGCUUCAAAUUCCAAGCAAUAUUUACUUCAUCGUUUGGUGGUUUGACACGUUUUUCUCCCGAAGAAUAACAUUUUUUAGUGUUUAAAAGUUCGUGGGAAUUGACAGGGUUGUUGACUGAUGAUGCACGAAUUCCCCUUACACGAUUUUAUGCUGCGUCAUCGCAUGACCUUUAUCAUGUAAUGAAAGCGACCAAUCCCGCCAAUCAGAGUGACUGUUCUAUCUCAAUUAUUGUAUAAUUAUUGAUAAAAGUACUUUCUUCAAUUCAGUAUGUGAAAUUUGAGCCCAAUUAUGCUUUGUAGUUCUGGACUGUUUUCCACAGAUGCCGGUACUAAGGCUAUAAGUUCAGUGAAGUGCAGGCUAAUGAAUGGUGCUACUGUGGCAAAAGCUAUGGUAAACAUGGCAAAGCAUCCGAAAGUGACUGUAACCAGGCCUGUAAAUGCGACCCAACCGUUAAGUGUGGCUCAUAAUGGAGAAGCUCUGUUUAUUCUAUUGAGUCGGAGAUCAAGCCAGCAGCACCACAGGCAUACCAUGACUCCCUGUACUCACCAGGUUUGCCCCUACCCCGAGAACACGUGAUCUACACAGAGUCUGGUUCACGACGUGUACGAAUGCGCAUAUUAUUGUGAGAUUUCACCUGAUUGCCUGUCAAUCAACUACGACCCCGUUGCCAUGGUGUGUGAGAUGUGUGCCGUGAGGGUCUCAUCAUUGGGAGGACUAGUGCCUAGGCGAAGCUUCAGACACUGGGUGCCUUUGCAUUUUAUGUCAGUAAUGACCUGAAACACCACACUGAGAUGCAACAAGACCAAAGCAAUAAGCUGAAUGGAACACCACAGAGAUGCAACAAGACCAAAGCAAUAAGCUACAUGGAACACCACACUGAGAUGCAACAAGACCAAAGCAAUAAGCUGAAUGGAACACCACACUGAGAUGCAACAAGACCAAAGCAAUAAGCUAAAUGGAACACCACACUGAGAUGCAACAAGACCAAAGCAAUAAGCUACAUGGAACACCACACUGAGAUGCAACAAGACCAAAGCAAUAAGCUAAAUGGAACACCACACUGAGAUGCAACAAGACCAAAGCAAUAAGCUGAAUGGAACACCACACUGAGAUGCAACAAGACCAAAGCAAUAAGCUGAAUGGAACACUACACUGAGAUGCAACAAGACCAAAGCAAUAAGCUAAAUGGAACGCCACCCUGAGAUGCAACAAGACCAAAGCAAUAAGCUAAAUGGAACACCACCCUGAGAUGCAACAAGACCAAAGCAAUAAGCUAAAUGGCACACCACACUGAGAUGCAACAAGACCAAAGCAAUAAGCUAAAUGGAACACCACACUGAGAUACAAAGUAAUAAGCUCGGGUAUACAUCGGAAAUAUUCUCAAAACAACUGAUUAUUCAUAAGCAAAAAAAAUAUCUAUAAGCCUUUUCUUAGUUUUGCAAAUACUCGAGCAGAUUUUUAAGAUAAAGGAUUUUUUUAAAAGAAAAAGAGUCUGGUUAUAUAAAAAAACAUUAAGAUUUUAGUAAAAGUGUAGAAGACUGUCAAGUCAAAAAGGACAUGGAAGCAAAGUGUAAACGCAAAAGUCAUAAAACAUAAUAAGGCGCCUUUUACUAAACAUCACUAUCACAUCUUAACUUAAGCAAAUAAAACGGCUAAUAUCUGG